CCUACGGAUGGCAGCAGUCGAGAAUCAUUCACAAUGGGGGAAACCCUGAUGGUGCGACGCCGCGUGGGGGAAUGAAGGUCUUCGGAUUGUAGACCCCUGUCAUGUGGGAGCAAAUUAAAAAGAUCGUACCACAAGAGGAAGAGACGGCUAACUCUGUGCCAGCAGCCGCGGUAAUACAGAGGUCUCAAGCGUUGUUCGGAAUCACUGGGCGUAAAGCGUGCGUAGGCUGUUUCGUAAGUCGUGUGUGAAAGGCGCGGGCUCAACCCGCGGACGGCACAUGAUACUGCGAGACUAGAGUAAUGGAGGGGGAACCGGAAUUCUCGGUGUAGCAGUGAAAUGUGUAGAUAUCGAGAGGAACACUCGUGGCGAAGGCGGGUUCCUGGACAUUAACUGACGCUGAGGCACGAAGGCCAGGGGAGCGAAAGGGAUUAGAUACCCUUGUAGUC
rnacentral:rRNA from 1 species